rnacentral:rRNA from 1 species
UGCAAGUCGUGCGGACCUUUUAAAAGCUUGCUUUUAAAAGGUUAGCGGCGGACGGGUGAGUAACACGUGGGCAACCUGCCUGUAAGACUGGGAUAACGCCGGGAAACCGGGGCUAAUACCAGAUAGUUUUUUCUUCCGCAUGGAGGAAAAAGGAAAGGCGGCUUCGGCUGCCACUUACAGAUGGGCCCGCGGCGCAUUAGCUAGUUGGCGGGGUAAUGGCCCACCAAGGCAACGAUGCGUAGCCGACCUGAGAGGGUGAUCGGCCACAUUGGGACUGAGACACGGCCCAAACUCCUACGGGAGGCAGCAGUAGGGAAUCUUCCGCAAUGGACGAAAGUCUGACGGAGCAACGCCGCGUGAGUGAAGAAGGCCUUCGGGUCGUAAAACUCUGUUGCCGGGGAAGAACAAGUGCCGUUCGAACAGGGCGGCGCCUUGACGGUACCCGGCCAGAAAGCCACGGCUAACUAC